rnacentral:misc_RNA from 1 species
GAGAAAGUCAUGCACCACUCUGAUAUAUAAUUGAGGUGAUAAAUCUCUGAUACCCAUAUUAUACAUCUGAGCUUAAUCUUCAUUUCAAAUCCUUCUUUUUCCUCUGUUAUCUUUGUGUGAAAAAUUGUAUUGAAAAGAAGGAAGCGAGUGAUGACAAUCACCACAUCAUGAAAAAUUGUAUUCAGGCAAAUUAUCUUCGGGAGAGUUUGACAGCAGACUAAUUUAGAAAAUUACACUAUUUUAGAAAAUCUUAACCGAGCCUUUAUUAGACUUCGUUCAUCGUAAAUGAAAGAAAAAUUAUUAUUUAAUUUUGUAUUUUAAUAAAAAUAAUUAUUUAAUUUUUCUAUUUUAAAAAAUUAUACUAUUCCUUCGUUAUUUUAAAGGUAUUGAAGGAUAGAAUUAGGGAAAAAAAUUUUGUUUUAAAAUUAUGAGAGGGAGUAAAUAG